rnacentral:piRNA from 1 species
GAAGACCAGGAGCCUGGAAAUCCGCUU